CCUANGGGGGGUAGCAGUGAGGAAUUUUGCGCAAUGGGGGCAACCCUGACGCAGCAACGCCGCGUGCGUGAUGAAGGUUUUCGGAUCGUAAAGCUCUGUCAAGUGGGAAGAACGUAUUAUAUGUUAACAGCGUAUGAUAUUGACGGUACCACUGAAGGAAGCACCGGCUAACUCCGUGCCAGCAGCCGCGGUAAUACGGAGGGUGCAAGCGUUAUUCGGAUUUACUGGGCGUAAAGGGCGCGUAGGCGGUUGGACAAGUCAGAUGUGAAAUCCCGGGGCUUAACUCCGGAAGUGCAUCUGAAACUGUUCGGCUUGAGUAUGGUAGAGGGAAGUGGAAUUCCUGGUGUAGCGGUGAAAUGCGUAGAUAUCAGGAGGAACACCGGUGGCGAAGGCGACUUCCUGGACCAAAACUGACGCUGAGGCGCGAAGGUGUGGGGAGCAAACAGGAUUAGAUACCCUANUANUC
rnacentral:rRNA from 1 species